rnacentral:tRNA from 1 species
GGUCCUAUAGCUCAAUUGGUUAGAGCGUUGAUUUUAAGAACCGAAGGUCAUGGGUUCGAGCUCUGCCGAGGCCA